GAUGAACGCUGGCGGCGUGCCUAAUACAUGCAAGUCGAGCGAACGGACGAGAAGCUUGCUUCUCUGAUGUUAGCGGCGGACGGGUGAGUAACACGUGGAUAACCUACCUAUAAGACUGGGAUAACUUCGGGAAACCGGAGCUAAUACCGGAUAAUAUUUUGAACCGCAUGGUUCAAAAGUGAAAGACGGUCUUGCUGUCACUUAUAGAUGGAUCCGCGCUGCAUUAGCUAGUUGGUAAGGUAACGGCUUACCAAGGCAACGAUGCAUAGCCGACCUGAGAGGGUGAUCGGCCACACUGGAACUGAGACACGGUCCAGACUCCUACGGGAGGCAGCAGUAGGGAAUCUUCCGCAAUGGGCGAAAGCCUGACGGAGCAACGCCGCGUGAGUGAUGAAGGUCUUCGGAUCGUAAAACUCUGUUAUUAGGGAAGAACAUAUGUGUAAGUAACUGUGCACAUCUUGGCGGUACCUAAUCAGAAAGCCACGGCUAACUACGUGCCAGCAGCCGCGGUAAUACGUAGGUGGCAAGCGUUAUCCGGGAUUAUUGGGCGUAAAGCGCGCGUAGGCGGUUUUUUAAGUCUGAUGUGAAAGCCCACGGCUCAACCGUGGAGGGUCAUUGGAAACUGGAAAACUUGAGUGCAGAAGAGGAAAGUGGAAUUCCAUGCGUAGCGGUGAAAUGCGCAGAGACAUGGAGGAACACCAGUGGCGAAGGCGACUUUCUGGUCUGUAACUGACGCUGAUGUGCGAAAGCGUGGGGAUCAAACAGGAUUAGAUACCCUGGUAGUCCACGCCGUAAACGAUGAGUGCUAAGUGUUAGGGGGUUUCCGCCCCUUAGUGCUGCAGCUAACGCAUUAAGCACUCCGCCUGGGGAGUACGACCGCAAGGUUGAAACUCAAAGGAAUUGACGGGGACCCGCACAAGCGGUGGAGCAUGUGGUUUAAUUCGAAGCAACGCGAAGAACCUUACCAAAUCUUGACAUCCUUUGACAACUCUAGAGAUAGAGCUUUCCCCUUCGGGGGACAAAGUGACAGGUGGUGCAUGGUUGUCGUCAGCUCGUGUCGUGAGAUGUUGGGUUAAGUCCCGCAACGAGCGCAACCCUUAAGCUUAGUUGCCAUCAUUAAGUUGGGCACUCUAAGUUGACUGCCGGUGACAAACCGGAGGGAGGUGGGGAUGACGUCAAAUCAUCAUGCCCCUUAUGAUUUGGGCUACACACGUGCUACAAUGGACAACACAAAGGGCAGCGAAACCGCGAGGUCAAGCAAAUCCCAUAAAGUUGUUCUCAGUUCGGAUUGUAGUCUGCAACUCGACUACAUGAAGCUGGAAUCGCUAGUAAUCGUAGGUCAGCAUGCUACGGUGAAUACGUUCCCGGGUCU
rnacentral:rRNA from 1 species